UAUUAUGUGGUAUGUGAAUUAUAUCUAUUUCUAUAUCUACCUUUAGAGAAAUGUGGAACACCAUUAAUGUACUAUAAAUGUAAUAAAGGUGUUUUUUAAAAAAAGUAUUUAAAGAAAUAAUGACUAAAAAUUUCCCACUUUUAUUCUCUACAGUGGGCCAGACAGUGGUGUGCUGGUUAAGGCAACUGGACCAAAUAGCUGACUGUGCAGUUCGUGUCCUGGACCCGACAGCUUCAAAACCAUGCCUGCUUGUUUUUGUGUGUGCCUGCAGGUCUAAAAUCGCCAAAGGAGAAAUGGAGGAGAGAGGACUGGUAUGACCAUCCUCCAUGGACUAAGGACCUAUAGACCGCAUCAGAUUCCCAAGAAUUUUGUAACUACUAAAAAAUUAAGAACCAUGGAUGUUGAGAAGACAAUUGGGAUUUUCCUGAGACAUAAUUAAAAUUAUGGUGUUUGAAGAUACUUACAGGAAAAACAUAUUAGAAGAAACGGACAUGAGAAUUCAGCUGUCUCUGUUACUCCAGACAUUAAAGAGAUUUACAGAGUGGAAAACAAUCCUGCUCUUCCUACUAGGUUGUUUUUGCUUGGAAAAUACAGAUAUUUUCAUAAAAAUAUGGUACUUAAGGAGCCAGUGGAUGGCAUGGUGGCUAAGGCAUUGGACUACUACAUGGCCAAUCGCAGUUCAAUACCCGAACCUGGUG